UGGGGAAUAUUGCACAAUGGGCGCAAGCCUGAUGCAGCAACGCCUCGUGAACGAUGAAGGUCUUCGGAUCGUAAAGUUCUGUUGCAGGGGAAGAUAAUGACGGUACCCUGUGAGGAAGCCCCGGCUAACUACGUGCCAGCAGCCGCGGUAAUACGUAGGGGGCUAGCGUUAUCCGGAUUUACUGGGCGUAAAGGGUGCGUAGGUGGUCUUUCAAGUCGGUGGUUAAAGGCUACGGCUCAACCGUAGUUAGCCUCCGAAACUGGAAGACUUGAGUGCAGGAGAGGAAAGUGGAAUUCCCAGUGUAGCGGUGAAAUGCGUAGAUAUUGGGAGGAACACCAGUAGCGAAGGCGGCUUUCUGGACUGCAACUGACACUGAGGCACGAAAGCGUGGGUAGCAAACAGG
rnacentral:rRNA from 1 species